rnacentral:rRNA from 1 species
UUAAUGUUAGUUAUGAAAUAUAUUUCAAGAAAUUUUAUAUCUAGUUUUUUAGUAAUUAAAGUAGAAGAAAUGAUUUUUAUUAAGAUUAAUAUGGUUUAGCUUAUUAAUAUUAUAUAUAGUUUGAAUUAUUUUACCUAAAUAAAUUUGAUAGUGUUUAUUUUAUAGAUUUAUAAUAGAGGGUAAUGUUAAUAUUGAUUUUUAUUUAUUAUUUGAAUAUUAAAAAUUUUAUUUAAACGUUAAAGUUUUAUUUAUAAUGAGAAAAUUAGUAAAAAUUUAUUUGUGUUAUAAAGUAAUUAAUAGAAUAUAAUUGUUAUAAUAAUUAUAGAAAAUGAAUUAGGCAAAAAAUUUAUUUGACUGUUUAGCAAAAACAUUGUUUCAUGAAUAAAAAUAUGAAAUAAUGUCUGUCCACUGAAAAUUUUGAAGGACUGCAGUAUAUUGACUGUAUAAAAGUAGCAUAAUCAUUAGCUUUUUAAUUUGGAGUUGGUAUGAAGGCGAAACGGAUAAGAUCUUUAUUUUUUAUAAAUAGAUUAAAUUUUAUUUUUAAGUGAAAAAUCUUAAUUAGGUGAGAGGGACAAGAAGACCCUAAUAAGUUUUAUUCUUGUAUUUAUUUAUGUUAUAGGAAGAUUAAAAAUUAGAUAAUAUUAAAACAGGAAUUUAAUUGGGGCGAUUGGUUAAUAAACAUAAGUGGUUUAUAAUUUUU